rnacentral:rRNA from 1 species
AGUGAACGCUGGCGGUAGGCCUAACACAUGCAAGUCGAACGGCAGCACAGUAAGAGCUUGCUCUUACGGGUGGCGAGUGGCGGACGGGUGAGGAAUACAUCGGAAUCUACUUUUUCGUGGGGGAUAACGUAGGGAAACUUACGCUAAUACCGCAUACGACCUACGGGUGAAAGCAGGGGAUCUUCGGACCUUGCGCGAUUGAAUGAGCCGAUGUCGGAUUAGCUAGUUGGCGGGGUAAAGGCCCACCAAGGCGACGAUCCGUAGCUGGUCUGAGAGGAUGAUCAGCAACAUUGAAACUGAGCCACGGUCCAGAUCCCUACGGGAGCCAGCGGUGGGGAAUAUUGGCCAAUGGGCGCAACCUUGUCCCAGCAAUCCCGCGUGGUUGAAGAGGCCCUUCGGUUGGUAAACCCUUUUUGUUGGAAAAGAAAGCAGCAGGUUAAUACCCCGCUGUUCUGACGGUACCCAAAGAAUAAGCACCGGCUAACUUCGUG